CAGGAAGUUAUAAAGGAAACAGGAAGUUGAGGGUUCUUUCUUUGAUCUGCCCACAGCAGGCAGCAACAGCAAUGUGCAGCUCCUGCAAUUGAAAGACAAUGUUUAGAUUUAGUUUGGACCAACAAAGACAAUCGUCAUAGCAAAGCAUGCACAGGUUGGUCUGAUCGCUCUCCUCCACCUCUUGGCUCUUCUGGUCGUAGUUGACGGCGAGCUCCUCCAGCGCCUGCAGCACCUCCUUCACCUCCUCCUUCAGCUGGUUCUCCGUUUGCAGCCGGCACAGCUCCUCCUGGGAGGGACGUGGGGUCAGAUCUAUUCUUGUCAUCCAGCUGUUUGUACAGGUUGCUGAUGUCCUCCUCGUAUUUGCUCCGCUCGUUGCAACAAUAUUAUUUGACUUUUCUUUCACAAAGGUAAGAAGUAUUUUCAGUUGAAAAAAACAGUUAAUUUAAAAUGAGUAAUGUAUCAUAAUGGCUCAUUUACUUUUCACGUAUUGUUCAAUCCUAGCUGUAAAUUAGAUGCACACGUUUGAGUGCUCCUAAAGUAAAAGUCUGUGAUAGUCCUUUUUAACUU